GCAGUCGUGGCCGAGUGGUUAAGGCGAUGGACUAGAACUCCAAUGGGGUCUCCCAGCACAGGUUCAAAUCCUGUCGACUGCG
rfam:Ixodes scapularis strain Wikel colony gcontig_1108379233802, whole genome shotgun sequence.